rnacentral:rRNA from 1 species
UACGGAGGGGGCUAGCGUUGUUCGGAAUUACUGGGCGUAAAGCGCGCGUAGGCGGCUUUGUAAGUUAGAGGUGAAAGCCCGGAGCUCAACUCCGGAACUGCCUUUAAGACUGCAUCGCUAGAAUCAUGGAGAGGUGAGUGGAAUUCCGAGUGUAGAGGUGAAAUUCGUAGAUAUUCGCAAGAACACCAGUGGCGAAGGCGGGUAGCUGGGCCGACACUGACGCUGAGGCGCGACAGCGUGGGGAGCAAACAGG